CUACUUGCCUCCCUCAAAUGACAUCAUCAUUACGCGCCAGAAAGUAAAGCAAAGACUACAAACCAGCGCUUGCGCUCAAAAAGAAACUUAUCUCCUUUGAAUUGACUGCAUCAGAUAAACACGCGAUUUAUGUGGUGAAUCAACGACUAAAGAGUGUGAAAAUGUUUGCAAGGAUCACAGCAAAGCACGUGGAGGAAAAAGACAGUAGUCGUCGACGACUGAAAGAUCUUUGGCUGCAGCCUUAUGUUCUGUUACGCAGAGCUGACAUUAGUGAAGUAAUUGGUGGUAAGCAGCAGGAGCCAGAGUGCAGUCGCCUUAAAGAGGAAGAUGUGGUCAAAGAGCUCCACCCCUUGGAUGAACAAAUGGAGCAGACAUUUCUUUGCACCAUAAAAAAGGAGGUGACGAAGACCACUGUGGAGGAGCACAAGCAGCUCCACCAUCAGAUAGUGAUGACAUGUCAUCAGAUGCUCCUUCUGGUGAUGAUGAUGCGUCUCAAAACAAACGCACGCAAUGUUCUCAGUGUGGGAAAUGUUAUGCUAAUAAGACUGCUUUGAAUCGACACAUGAAAUCGCACGCAGAGAAAAGGUUUUCCUGCUCAGAUUGUGGCCAAAAAUUCCAUUGGAGUUUCACUUUAAAAAGGCACCGAAAAACCCACACUGGCGAAACAUCUUUUUCGUGCUCAUAUUGUGGCCAAAAAUUCUCUCGGAGAGAACAUUUAAAAACCCACACAACAAUGCACACUGGCGAGAAACCUUUUUCAUGCGCACUCUGUGGCAUAAAAUUCAAUCAGAGGAAUCAUUUAAAAAGGCACACAAUGAUCCACACUGACGAGAAACCUUUUUCAUGCUCACUCUGUGGCCAAAAAUUCUCUCAGAAGGCAAAUUUAAGAACACACACAAGAACCCACACUAAGGAGAAACCUUAUUCAUGCGCAGUUUGUGGCCAAAGAUUUUCAGCGAACGGAAUUCUAACAGUUCAUGCAAGAAUCCACACUGGUGAGAAACCGUUUUCAUGCUCAGUUUGUGGGGAAAGAUUUUCAGCAAAGGCAAGCUUAGAAAUGCACACAAGCAUCCACACUGGUGAGAAACCUUUUUCAUGCUCAGUUUGUGGCCAGAAAUUCUCUGAGAAGAAAGUUUUAAUACAUCAUGAAAGAAUCCACACAGGGGAGAAACCUCUUUCCUGCUCAGUCUGUGGCCAAGUAUUUUCUAAGAAGAGAUCUUUAAAACUUCAUGCAAAAAUCCACACUGGGGAGAAACUUUUUUCCUGCUCAGUUUGAGGCCAAACAUUCUCUGAGAAGCAAUCUGUAAAACGUCAUACAAAAAUCCAUACUGGGGAGAAACCCUUUUCCUGCUCGAUUUGUGGCCAAAAAUUCUUUAAGAAGCAAUCUCUAAAACGUCAUACAAAAAUCCAUACUGGGGAGAAACCUUUUUCAUGCUCAGUUUGUGGCCAGAAAUUCUCCCAGAAAAGAAAUCUAACACGUCAACAAGAACCCAGGCUGGUGAGAAACCUUUUUCAUGCUCAGUUUGUGGCAAAGUAUUCUCUCAGAAGGGAAAUCUAACACGUCAUACAAGAACCCACACUGGUGAGAAACCUUUUUCAUGCUCAGUUUGUGGCCAGGUAUUCUCUGAGAAGAAAUUUCUAACACGUCAUACAAGAACCCACACUGGGGAGAAACCUUUUUCAUGCUCAGUUUGUGGCCAAAAAUUCUCUGAGAAGUAACCUCUAAUAUGUCAUACAAGAGUCCACACUGGGGAGAAACCUUUUUUAUGCUCAGUUUGUGGCCAAGUGUUCUCUCGGAAGGGAACUCUAACACGAACCUAUUGAGAAUUUCGAGUGUGUUGAGGAGAUGAGCGAUGAUCCGUGAAGUUUUCAUCUUCUGUUUGAGCAGACUUCAUGAGUUUUUGCAUCAAUGAGAAUUCUAUGUACCUUUUGAUUGGGAUGCUGAACUCCUUUUCUUCACCACAGUGAGAAGUUCAUAUUUCCGUUGUAAUUAUUUUGAGAAUACGGUAAUCCCUCGCUACAUCGCGGCUUUGUACAUUGCAGACUUUUUUCCAAAUUGAAAAUAAAUAAAUAAAAACUCACAAAUUGGAAAUAGAACUUCUGAAUUGAGGAAUUACGGCAUGAAAGUCGCCCACACGUCAACAGAAGGCAGGGAUUGUCCACACAAUUGCAGAAUGUACACUUGUACCUUUUUAUACAAAAAAAUAUCAUUUUUAAGUUCUAAAAAUAUAUUUUCAAUAUUGUACCUUAUGUUUUUUUUUAUAAUUAAUAAGAGUUCCAAAAAACAUAUUUACAGUAUGUACACUUGUAUCUUGUUAUAAAAAAGUUAUUAUAAUAAAAGCAUUCUAAAAACAUA